GAUGAAGAACGUAGCGAAAUGCGAUAAGUAGUGUGAAUUGCAGAAUUCAGUGAAUCAUCGAAUCUUUGAACGCACAUUGCGCCCCAUGGUAUUCCGUGGGGCAUGCCUGUUCGAGCGUCAUUUACCCCCUCAAGCUCCGCUUGGUGUUGGGCGUCUGUCCCGCUUCGCGCGCGGACUCGCCCCAAAGGUAUUGGCAGCGGUCGUGCCAGCUUCUCGCGCAGCACAUUGCGCUUCUCGAGGCACCGGUGGGCCCGCGUCCAUCAAGCUCACCCCCCCAGUUUGACCUCGGAUCAGGUAGGGAUACCCGCUGAACUUAAGCAUUCAAUAAGCGGAGGA
rnacentral:misc_RNA from 1 species